CACCGCGGUUAAACGAGAGGCCCCAGUUGAUAGUGCAACGGCGUAAAGGGUGGUUAAGGACAGUGUGAUGAUAAAGUCAAAUGGCCCUUUGGCUGUCAUACGCUUCUAGGAGUCCGAAGCCCAAUAUACGAAAGUAACUUUAGAAAAGCCCACCUGACCCCACGAAAGCUGAGAAA
rnacentral:rRNA from 1 species